CAAGAAGACCCUCACCAGAUGCAGCCCCUCUAUGUUGGACUUCCCAGCCUCCGGAAGUUAGAAAUGUGCUACAACCACUCAAGGUCUGCAAACAGAUUCCUAUUUAGAUGUUGUUGAGAGUUGAAUUUCUGGAACAAGAGAUAUAGAUUAAGACUGUUGUUACAUGUUGCCUACAUGACUUUCAAAAGCUUGAUUCCCAGUGGCAUUCUCAACAGCAGUCAUAAACAAUGGUAAUUCAAUGUAUAUUUAUAUUCAACUGAUAUAUUAAUUGGAAUAUAUUAAAAAUACGUAUAUUUAUAUUCAGAAUA
ensembl:lncRNA novel transcript